GCGGGGCAUGGUUGCGCAUGCCUGUAAUCCCAGUGGCUUGGGUGGCUGAGGCAGGAGGAUUACAAAUUCAAAAGCAGACUCAACAACUUAGGGAGGCACUUAGCAACUCAGUGAGACCCUGUCUCUA
rnacentral:sRNA from 1 species